UGGGGAAUAUUGGACAAUGGGCGAAAGCCUGAUCCAGCCAUGCCGCGUGUGUGAAGAAGGUCUUCGGAUUGUAAAGCACUUUAAGUUGGGAGGAAGGGCAGUUACCUAAUACGUGAUUGUUUUGACGUUACCGACAGAAUAAGCACCGGCUAACUCUGUGCCAGCAGCCGCGGUAAUACAGAGGGUGCAAGCGUUAAUCGGAAUUACUGGGCGUAAAGCGCGCGUAGGUGGUUUGUUAAGUUGGAUGUGAAAUCCCCGGGCUCAACCUGGGAACUGCAUUCAAAACUGACUGACUAGAGUAUGGUAGAGGGUGGUGGAAUUUCCUGUGUAGCGGUGAAAUGCGUAGAUAUAGGAAGGAACACCAGUGGCGAAGGCGACCACCUGGACUGAUACUGACACUGAGGUGCGAAAGCGUGGGGAGCAAACAGGAUUAGAUACCCAAGUAGUCCCUGAGCGGGCUGGCAAGGCGCAU
rnacentral:rRNA from 1 species